GGAAAUCAAGAGUCAUCCAAGCCCCGCCUGGACGUGCUGCUCCAUUAACCGGGGAAACCAGAGUUCAGUUCCACAAUGAUCAGUCACAUCUACUAGUUGUCCAUGAAAGCCAAUUGUCAAUUUAUGACGGAAAGCUUGAGUGCAUCCGCACGUGGUCCCCACGGGACUCCCUCUCUGCACCUGUUUCCUGUGCGAUAUACUCCUGCGAUGGCUUCUCAGUAUACACAGGUUUCUCUGAUGGUGCAGUUGGAGUUUUUGACUCCGACAGUCUGAGGCUUCGGUGCCGAAUCGCACCCUCUGCCUAUAUAUCGGCUUCUGUACAAAGC
rnacentral:misc_RNA from 1 species